AUAUACGACCGUACCGCAAACCGACACUGGUGCGCGAGAUGAGUAUUCUAAGGCGCUUGAGAGAACUCAGGAGAAGGAACUCGGCAAAUUGACACCGUAACUUCGGAAGAAGGUGUGCCCUAUUAGUGUGUAGUGAACAACGAAGCAUGAAUGGGUUGCAAAAGAUCGGUGGCUGCGACUGUUUAUUAAAAACACAGCACUCUGCAAACACGAAAGUGGACGUAUAGGGUGUGACGCCUGCCCGGUGCUGGAAGAUUAAAUGAUGGGGUGCAAGCUCUUGAUUGAAGUCCCAGUAAACGGCGGCCGUAACAAUAACGGUCCUAAGGUAGCGAAAUUCCUUGUCGGGUAAGUUCCGACCUGCACGAAUGGCGUAACGAUGGCCACACUGUCUCCUCCUGAGACUCAGCGAAGUUGAAAUGUUUGUGAUGAUGCAAUCUCCCCGCGGAAAGACGGAAAGACCCCAUGAACCUUUACUGUAGCUUUGUAUUGGACUUUGAACAGAUCUGUGUAGGAUAGGUGGGAGGCUUUGAAGCAGGGUCGCUAGAUCUUGUGGAGCCAACGUUGAAAUACCACCCUGGUGUGUUUGAGGUUCUAACCUAGGUCCAUUAUCUGGAUCGGGGACAGUGCAUGGUAGGCAGUUUGACUGGGGCGGUCUCCUCCCAAAGCGUAACGGAGGAGUUCGAAGGUACGCUAGUUACGGUCGGACAUCGUGACGAUAGUGCAAUGGCAUAAGCGCGCUUAACUGCGAGACUGACAAGUCGAGCAGAUGCGAAAGCAGGACAUAGUGAUCCGGUGGUUCUGUAUGGAAGGGCCAUCGCUCAACGGAUAAAAGGUACUCUGGGGAUAACAGGCUGAUACCGCCCAAGAGUUCAUAUCGACGGCGGUGUUUGGCACCUCGAUGUCGGCUCAUCUCAUCCUGGGGCUGUAGCCGGUCCCAAGGGUAUGGCUGUUCGCCAUUUAAAGAGGUACGUGAGCUGGGUUUAAAACGUCGUGAGACAGUUUGGUCCCUAUCUUCCGUGGGCGCUGCAGAUUUGAGGAAGCCUGCUCCUAGUACGAGAGGACCGGAUUGGACACACCUCUGGUGUAUCGGUUGUCACGCCAGUGGCAUUGCCGAGUAGCUAAGUGUGGAAGAGAUAACCGCUGAAAGCAUCUAAGCGGGAAACUCGUUUCAAGAUGAGAUCUGCCGGGGCCUUGAGCCCCCUAAAGAGUCGUUCAAGACCAGGACGUUGAUAGGUCAGGUGUGGAAGCGA
rnacentral:rRNA from 1 species